GAUGAACGCUGGCGGCGUGCUUAACACAUGCAAGUCGAACGGAAAGGCUCUUGCUUGCUGGGGUACUCGAGUGGCGAACGGGUGAGUAACACGUGGGUGAUCUGCCCUGCACUUUGGGAUAAGCUUGGGAAACUGGGUCUAAUACCGGAUAGGACGAUGGUUUGGAUGCCAUUGUGGAAAGUUUUUCGGUGUGGGAUGAGCUCGCGGCCUAUCAGCUUGUUGGUGGGGUAAUGGCCUACCAAGGCGUCGACGGGUAGCCGGCCUGAGAGGGUGUACGGCCACAUUGGGACUGAGAUACGGCCCAGACUCCUACGGGAGGCAGCAGUGGGGAAUAUUGCACAAUGGGCGCAAGCCUGAUGCAGCGACGCCGCGUGGGGGAUGACGGCCUUCGGGUUGUAAACUCCUUUCGCUAGGGACGAAGCGCAAGUGACGGUACCUGGAGAAGAAGCACCGGCUAACUACGUG
rnacentral:rRNA from 1 species